UCAGCGACGGAUAUUUCCUCCAACAAUCGGGGCCAACUCAUCACCACACCAGAGGCCACAGCCGGACACUAACAAAGCCCAUCACAGAACAACACAGAGGGACCAUUUCGGACAAUUUACGGUUUCACCCAACCAGUGAUUUUCUUACGUGGUUCACGUUUUCUGGUGAUAGAUGUAGUGAAUUGCACGAUUUUGUACCUAAUUUCCAUCGCAAAUGUCUACUUUUCGAGUUAUGCCUCUUUUCAAGUGAUGACCUGCCCUCAUGUCAUUCCUCCUCGUGCCAGCUUCACCAAUCCAUCCAUGUAAUUUGCUCUUGGUCUUCCUUUUCCUCUUCUUCCUUCCACCAUUCCAGUCGUAAUCAAAGUCACCAGUCCUUCUCUCCCUAUGGUAAAAUUCUAGUGUUUGCCCAUACUCCCCCCUCCCCCCCAUACAAGCCUGGGGACCUGGUGGGAAUGCGGGGUUUCGGGUGGGGGACACGAAAUCCGUCGCAUUCGCGUAUUUUUUAGUGGGGGCGGGGAUAAAAACUCCCUAGAUCUAGGGAAAUUCCCUAAAUUUAGGGAAUUUUUCCUCCCACCACCACUAAAAUAAGUGUUUGCGACGAAUUUAGUGUUUCCCAUGCAAAAACCACGCACUCAGUGGAUCCUCAAGCUUGUUUUGGGAGAGAAGCGUAGUGAACCCACCAAACGAUGCUCACCUCACCAUCUGGCGUGGCACUGGCGGCCAUCUGUGCUCACAUAAACCGCUUCCACCACACUCAUGCUCUCUCUCUAGUAGGAUGUCACCUCAUCGCAAGGUUUCUGUCCUCCAAGUAGAGUCCGUGGCACCAAACACAGUGUAUCUUCAUUGUUUAUCACUGACACAAGUAAAACCACCGGCUAGCCGGGAUCCAUCCAACACCGCGCCUUUAACACUACUGCGGCUUGUGCAGGAAGUGCAGGCUCUCGAACCUCUUGCCCGAGCUCUUCGAACACGUGAAUCCUUAAUGAUCGGAUUUUGAAUCUGCUUCACGGGCUCGUAUUCCCAGUAUACAAGGUGAUUGUGGAUAUUGACUCCGCGCCUCCAGAAUACGAUAAUACGCCUCCAUAUAUCAUAGUAAAAAAAAAACAAAGUACUUGAAGUAAAGAAGCCGAAUUAAUCCCCUUCCCCCAACGAUCUUGAGGGACCUGCGUGAACUCGGGGUAUUUGGGUGGGGGAGCAUAUUUAAACUACUCCAACCGAACUUUACGACCUGCUAACCAAGGGGGGGCUGUGCCCCCCUCUGGACCCCCCCUCUUAAAGGUGCGUGUUCUAAAAAAAAAAUAACCACGCGUGGUGGACCUGGUCUCACAUGCAUGGGCUAAUGACUAACUAAGCGUACCAUCGCUAACCAAGUGUACCAUCAGAAAUAGUAUUAGGUAUAGGUGCGUGUUUCCCCCAAAAAUAAAUAACCACGCGUGGUGGACCUUGUCUCACCUAGCGUAUCAUUGCUAACCGGAUCGUUGGCAACGCUGCUCAUAUUACAAUGGCGUUGCCAUGUAAACACAUCGUCCGUAUGUAUAAUAUGCCCUCAAGUACAAUAUGGAAGCGUAAUAUAGUAUUUUCGAGGUGCGGAGUGAUUUUCAAUAAUUACCUGGCAUGGUUUCCGUACGUUGUAAAAAAAAAAAACGGAAUGUAUGAAAUUUCCCUACAUCUAAGUAAUUGUAAGGAAUUUCCUUACAUCUAGGGUAUUUUUCAACCCCUCAUAACUCAAAAACUAUACAUUUGCGACGCAUUUCAUGUUUACCACCGCAUCCCCUGAAGUCUCAAUGGCCCCCUAGCCAAUUUUGGUUGCGAGGGGUGAGUGUGGGCAAACACUAGAAUAAUACCGAUAUGGGGCCGAAAAAUUUCAGUUGUCUCCCUCUCACCGUUCUCAUCAACUCUCUCUUCUCUUUCACCAUCUCCAGAAUGUGUCAACGUUUACAGAUAAAUGUGACCACCAUGAGACUAGGAGACAGAGAAGAGGCACCUUUGACGAGCACUGACUCUAAACUAUCACUAAAGGACAGUCCAGCGGUGAAGCCGAGUGCGUCCCGAUGCAGCGUGGUGGCAGCCUCCUGCUGUGCGCCGGGCUGUAAGAGCAGGAACACUGUGGACUGCAAGCUCACCCUCCACAUGUGUCAGGUUCCUGCACAGGUGAACGGAGGUGGAGUCACGGCUUUGGGGCGGCUUGCUAAAAAGCUACAGUCACACUGACUUCACGACCUGCUAACGACCACCUGCGACCUCAAAAUGCUGCGAUUCACACCCACCGCUCCCCGACCACAUAGGUGGCAAAGUAGUUGUGCGACUGAACGGCUACCGGUGGUCGUUUAGUGUCCGUCCAGUGGGCGGCCGGACGGCAAGAUUCACACCUUGGCCUCACACCUGGAGUCAGGCCAAGACGCCCACCAUACGCUGACCGGUGGCCGACAGGCAAGGACCAGUACACGUCCUGUCGCAAUGAGGACGGCGACCUCCCUUAACGAGCUGCAGCUGACGUGUUACAGUACAUAAUAUCUUCACCCAGUUAUAUUACACAUUUCCCAUUCUUAUUUCUGUAAAUUAUUUGUAAAAAACAGUUACUUAUAAAGGUAAUGAAAGUAUCCUGUACUUCACUGCAGCAAAAGACGGAUAUUUGUGACCCCCCCGCCGCCCCCUAUGUGCCGCAGACAUGCAAAAAAUGCUCCAAGCACUCUUGGUUUAACCUGUUGUUAGUAUGUAUGUAACAUUACAUUCGUUCUAAAGCAUUUCCAUCACCCUGGGCAGAGCAGAAGAUGAAAUUAACAGUUCUUUUUGAAGUGAAUAACAGCCAAUAGCUUUGCAGACUCUCAUUGUUACUGGUGUGCACGUCAUGUCCUGCAGUGAUUUAUUUUGGUUAGGCAGAGGUGACCCAUACACACUUGGCCGUGUGUUUGACCUGUGGAGCAGGUUGAGUGGGGACGGAGCUUGGACGGGCUGAGGGGCGUGGGACGUCACUGCUCAGGAAUGUACCUCAUUUCCGGGCAAGGGUGGUUUGACCUACCACCAGUCGCCGCACAACUCGCCGUGUGGUGGAAGGCCGGACGUCAACCACGGCCAGUGACAGAUGAAAAGUGUACGGCGACCAUCAGUGAUCUCCUUCUCUCUGACGGCAACCAGACGGCGUCCGCUCGCCAUCCAGUCGCCGUUCAGCAGUUAAUGGUCAACUGUUGGCCACCAGUGGCAGUCUGCUAGCCGUCCAGACGCAGUCCAUUCGGCCACCGGAUGGCAACCUUUUUUACGACCGGCAGCGACCUGAGAGGUCGGCUGGAGGUUUUAGAGCAUGACCUAAAACCUCCAUUGGUCAGGAGUGUUUCCCAUGUGGUAUUGGUAUGCUAGAUAUCCCUUCACUGGUAGCCUGGUAACAUAUAGUCCCAGGUCUUUCUCUGCCUCUGUGGUGGAUAGUGGAGUGUUUCCCAUGUGGUAUUGGUGUGCUGGAUAUCCCUUCACUGGUAGCCUGGUAACAUACACUCCCAGGUCUUUCUCUGCCUCUGUGGUGGAUAGUGGAGUGUUUCCCACGUGGUAUUGGUGUGCUGGAUAUCCCUUCAUUGGUAGCCUGGUAACAUACACUUCCAGGUCUUUCUCUGCCUCUGUGGUGGAUAGUGGAGUGUUUCCCAUGUGGUAUUGGUGUGCUGGAUAUCCCUUCACUAGUAGCCUGGUAACAUACACUCCCAGGUCUUUCUCUGCCUCUGUGGUGGAUAGUGGAGUGUUUCCCAUGUGGUAUUGGUGUGCUGGAUAUCCCUUCACUGGUAGCCUGGUAACAUAUGGUCCCAGGUCUUUCUCUGCCUCUGUGGUGGAUAGUGGAGUGUUUCCCAUGUGGUAUUGGUGUGCUGGAUAUCCCUUCACUGGUAGCCUGGUAACAUACACUCCCAGGUCUUUCUCUGCCUCUGUGGUGGAUAGUGGAGUGUUUCCCAUGUGGUAUUGGUGUGCUGGAUAUCCCUUCACUGGUAGCCUGGUAACAUACACUCCCAGGUCUUUCUCUGCCUCUGUGGUGGAUAGUGGAGUGUUUCCCAUGUGGUAUUGGUGUGCUGGAUAUCCCUUCACUGGUAGCCUGGUAACAUACACUCCCAGGUCUUUCUCUGCCUCUGUGGUGGAUAGUGGAGUGUUUCCCAUGUGGUAUUGGUGUGCUGGAUAUCCCUUCACUGGUAGCCUGGUAACAUAUACUCCCAGGUCUUUCUCUGCCUCUGUGGUGGAUAGUGGAGUGUUUCCCAUGUGGUAUUGGUGUGCUGGAUAUCCCUUCACUGGUAGCCUGGUAACAUACACUCCCAGGUCUUUCUCUGCCUCUGUGGUGGAUAGUGGAGUGUUUCCCAUGUGGUAUUGGUGUGCUGGAUAUCCCUUCACUGGUAGCCUGGUAACAUACACUCCCAGGUCUUUCUCUGCCUCUGUGGUGGAUAGUGGAGUGUUUCCCAUGUGGUAUUGGUGUGCUGGAUAUCCCUUCACUGGUAGCCUGGUAACAUAAUAGUCCCAGGUCUUUCUCUGCCUCUGUGGUGGAUGAAGUGUUUCCCAUGUGGCAUUGGUGUGCUGGAUAUCCCUUCACUGGUAGCCUGGUAACAUACACUCCCAGGUCUUUCUCUGCCUCUGUGGUGGAUAGUGGAGUGUUUCCCAUGUGGUAUUGGUGUGCUGGAUAUCCCUUCACUGGUAGCCUGGUAACAUAAUGGUCGCAGGUCUUACUCUGUGGUGGAUAGUGGAGUGUUUCCCAUGUGGUAUUGGUGUGCUGGAUAUCCCUUCACUGGUAGCCUGGUAACAUAAUGGUCGCAGGUCUUACUCUGUGGUGGAUAGUGGAGUGUUUCCCAUGUGGUAUUGGUGUGCAGGACUUUACAUUUUUCUUCAUUGAAUUGUAGCAGACACUUUUGUUCCAUUCCUGUAGCUUGGUGAGGUAUUCUGUUAGGAAAUCCAUAGUCUAGGGGUCACACUGCCCUAACCUAACGUAACCUCCUUUAUGGGAGACUUUGAACACAGCGACCCCUCGUUUUCACACUUAAUCUCAGCAUGACAAAUUAAAUCAAACUAAUUUAAACUAACGUAUCCUUAUGUAACCUGCCUAAUGUUUACUUAUUUAUUUAUUUUUUUGCUGCUUCAACUCACCCUGUUUUCACAUUUCAUCUCAGGCCUGUA